rnacentral:tRNA from 1 species
GGGCUGGGGCUCAGCGGUAGAGUGUUCACCUCCCACAUGUGAGGCCCUGGGUUCGAUCCUCAGCACCACA